GAGGGGGGUUAAAUCAACAAGAACUGCUAAUUCUUGCAUCUGGGCUUUAAACCCCAGCCCCCUU
rnacentral:tRNA from 1 species